ensembl:snRNA U4 U4 spliceosomal RNA
GGCUUUGCGCAGUGGCAGUAUUGUAGCCAAUGAGGUUUAUCCAAGGCGCGAUUAUUGCUAAUUGAAAACUUUUCCCAAUACCCUUCCAUGACGACUUUAAAUACAGUCAGCUUUGGCAAUUUUUGUCAGUCUCUAUGGAGA